rnacentral:tRNA from 1 species
GGAGAGGCUGUGGCUCAGUGCUAGAGCAUCUGUGUUACAUGCAGAAGAUUCCAAGUUCAAUCCCCAGCAUCUCCA